rnacentral:lncRNA from 1 species
GCUUUGUGUGAAUUGUUUUUAGUGCUUCAGACUGAUAUAUUGAGUUAACUGCAACUGAUUUUUACAGUUUGUUGUGCUGUUACACCACUGUCCUAGGUUAAGGGAGAGUUAAGCACUCACACACAAGUUUAAUUAGAUAUAAAAAGGUAUGGUAUGAGUGCCAAUGAGUAACAACUCUCUGUCUACGUAAGAAACUAUAAAAAUCAGC